AUUUCUUGAUAACAAUAUACAAAAUUUAGCGAAACAAGAACAAUAAUAACACUACACAAUCUUUAUUCUGAAUAAACAAUAUACAAAAUUUAGCAAAACAAGAACCAUCUAAUAAGCAUUCUAUCAAAUCUUCUCAUUUCUUGAUAACAAUAUACAAAAUUUAGCAAACUAGAUACACUAAUACACUAUCAAUCUUUCUCAUUUCUUUGAUAACAAUAUAUCUACUAAAUAUUAGCAAAAACAAGAACACUAAUAACAAAUGUAUCAAUCCUCUCAUUUCUUAAUAACAAUCUAAAUAAAAUUUAGCAAACAAGACAAUAACACUUCAAUCCUCUCAUUCUGAUAACAAACAUAUAACAAACAAACACUAAUCACUAUCAAUCUUCUGCAUUUCUUGAUGAACAUAUACAAAAUUUUAGCAAAACAAGACACUAAUAACACAUAUCAAUCUUCUCAUUUUUGAUAACAAUAUACAAAUUAAAAAAAACCAAGAACACUAAUAACACUAUCAAUCUUCUCAUUUCUUAUAACAAUGAUACUAAAAUUUAGCAAAACAAGAACACUAAUAACACAUAUCAAUCUUCUGACUUUCUUGAUAACAAUAUAAAAAAAUUUAGCAGAAACAGAACACUAAUAAACUAUCAAUCUUCUCAUUUUCCUUAAUAACAAUAUACAAAUUUAAAAACAAGAACACUAAAUAACACUAUCAAUCUUCAUUUCUUGAUAAACAAUAUCAAAAUUAGCAAAACAACAUUAAUAACACUAGUCAUCUCUCAUUUCUUGAUACAAUAUACAAAUUUAGAAAAACAAGAACACUAUACACUAUCAUCUUCUCAAAUUUUCUUGAUAACAAUAUACAGAAAUUUAGCCAAUAACAAGAACACUAAUAACACUAUCAUCUCUCAUUUCUUGAUACAAUAUAUCAAAAUUCGCAAUACAAAGAAACUAUAACACUAUCAACUUCUCAUUCUUGAUAACAAUAUACAAAUUAGGCAAACACAAAACACUAAUAACACCUAUCAAUCUCUCAUUUCUUGAUAACAUAUACAAAAUUUAGCAAAACAAGAACAUAUAACAUUAUCCAUCUUCUCAUUUCUUGAUAACAAUAUACAAAUUUACGAAACAAGAACACUAAUAACACUAUCAAUCUUCCUCAUUUUUGAAUCAACAAUAUACAAAAUUUAGCAAAACAAGAAACUAAUAACACUAUCAAUCUUUCUCAUUUCUUGAUAAAAUAUACAAUUUAGCAAAAACAGAAGCACUAAUAACACUAUCAAUUGUCCUCAUUUUCUUUGAUAACAAAUACAAAAUUUAGCAAAAACAAGAACACUAUAACACUAUCAAUCUUCCAUUUCUUGAUAACAAAUACAAAUUUAGCAAAACAAGAACAAUAAUAACACUUCAAUCUUCUUUCCUUGAUAACAAUAUACAAAAUCUAGCAAAAAAGAACACUAAUAACACUAUCAAUCUUCUGUUCUUUUGAUAACAAUAUACAAAUUUGCAAAACAGAGAACACUAAUAACACUUCAUCUUCUCAUUUUUCAUAACAAUAUACAAAUUUACAAACAAGAACAUAAUAACAUAUCUAUCUUCUCAAUUUUCUUUGAUAACAAUAUACAAAUUUAGCAAAACAAGAACAUAAUAACACUAUCAAUCUUCUCAUUUCUGAUAACAAUAUACAAAAUUUAGCAAAACAAGAACAAAUAACAUAUCAAUCUUCUAUUUCUUGAUAACAAUAUACAAAUUUAGCAAAACAAGAACACUAAUAACACAAAUCUUCUCAUUCUUGAUAAAUAUACAAAAUUUAGCAAAACAAGAAACACUAAUAACAUUAUCAAUUCUCUCAUUUCUUAAUAACAAUACAUAAUUUAGCAAACAAGAACAUAAUAACACUGCUUCAUCUCUCAUUCUUGAUAACAAUAUACAAAAUAUAGCAAAACCAGAAACACUAAUACACUCAUCAAUCUUCUCAUUUCUUGAUAACAAUAUACAAAAUUUGCAACAGAACAUAAUACACUAUCAAUCUUCUCAUUUCUUGAUUAACAUAUACAAAAUUUAAAAAAAAACAAGAACACUAAUAACACUAUAUCUCUCAUUUCUUGAUAACAAUAAUACAAAAUUUAGCAAAACAAGACACUAAUAACAUUCAAUCUUCUCAUUUCUUGAUAAACAAUAUAAAAAAUUUAGCAAAACAAGAACAUAAUAACUAUCAAUCUUCUCAUUUCUUAAACAAUAUACAAAAUUUAGAAAAACAGAACACUAAUAACAUAUCAUCUUCUCAUUUCUUGAUAACAAUAUACAAAUUUAGCAACAAGAACACUAAUAACACUUCAAUCUUCUCAUUUUUGAUAACAAUAUACAAAAUUUAGCAAAACAAGAACACUAUCAAUCUUCUCAUUUUUGAUAACAAUAUACAAAAUUUAGCAAAACAAGAACACUAAUAACACUAUCAUCUCUCAUUUCUGAUAACAAUAUACAAAAUUCAGAACAAACAAGAAGCUUCAUUCUUGAUAACAACUAUCAUUCCAACAAGACAUAUCAUUCCAUGUCUGAUAAAUGAAAAUUUCUAAGCAAAUCAAGACACAAUAAACAUCCACUACAUUUGAACAAUUUUACGAACAAGAAAUGAUACACUCUCCAAUUCUCAUUCUGAUAACAAUAUACAAAUUUAGAAAACAAGAACUUAUCAAUCCUCUCAUUUCUUGAUAACAAUAUACAUAAUUUAGCAAAACAAGAACACUAAUAACACUAUCAAUCUUCUCAUUUCUUGAUAACAAUAUACAAAAUUUAGAAAAACAAGAACACUAAUAACACUAUCAAUCUUCACAUUUCUUGAUAACAAUAUACAUAAUUUAGCAAAACAAGAACAAUAAUAACACUCUCAGUCCUCUUUUUUCUUGAUAAUAAUAUACAAAAUUUAACAAAAGAAGAACACUAAUAACACUAUCAAUCUUCUGAUUUCUUGAUAACACUAUACAAAAUUUAGCAAAACAAGAACACUAAUAACACUGUCAAUCUUCUCAUUUCUUGAUAACAAUAUACAAAAUUUAGCAAAACAAGAACACUAUUAAUCUUCUCAUUUUUUGAUAACAAUUUACAAAAUUUAGCAAAACAAGAACACUAAUAACACUAUCCAUCCUCUCAUUUCUUGAUAACAAUAUACAAAAUUCAGCAAAACAAGAACCCUAAUAACACUAUCAAUCUUCUCAUUUCUUGAUAACAAAAUUUAGCACAAACAAGAACACUAAUAAACACUAUCAAUCUUUCUUGAUAACAAUAUACAAAAUUCAGCAAAACAAGAACACUAAUAACACUAUCAAUCUUCUCAUUUCUUGAUAACAAUAUACAAAAUUCAGCAAAACAAGAACACUAAUAACACUAUCAAUCCUGUCAUUUCUUGAUAACAAUAUACAAAAUUUAGCAAACCAAGAACAUUAAUAACAUUAUCAAUCUUCUCAUUUCUUGAUAACAAUAUACAAAAUUUAGCAAAAUAAGAACACUAAUAACACUAUCAAUCUUCUUAUUUCUUGAUAACAAUAUACAAAAUUUAGCAAAGCAAGAACACUAAUAACACUAUCAAUCUUCUCAUUUCUUGAUAACAAAAUAGAAAAUUUAGCAAAACAAGAACACUAAUAACAAUAUCAAUCCUCUCAUUUCUUGAUAACAAUAUACAUAAUUUAGCUAAACAAGAACACUAUCAAUCUUCUCAUUUCUUGAUAACAAUAUACAAAAUUUAGCAAAACAAGAACACUAAUAACACUAUCAAUCCUCUCAUUUCUUAAUAACAAUAUACAAAAUUCAGCAAAACAAGAACCCUAAUAACACUAUCAAUCUUCUCAUUUCUUGAUAACAAUAUACAAAAUUCAGCAAAACAAGAACACUAAUAACACUAUCAAUCCUCUCAUUUCUUGAUAACAAUAUAAAAAGUUUAGCAAACAAGAACACAAUAACACUAUCAAUCUUCUCAUUUCUUAAUACAAAUAUAGAAAAUUUAGCAAAACAAGAACACUAAUAACACUAAUCAAUCUCUCUCUUUCUUAGAUAACAAUAUACACAAAUUUUAGCAAAACAAGAACACUAAUAACAUUAUCAAUCUUCUCAUUUCUGAUAACAAUUAGACAAAUUUAGCAAAACAAGAACACUAUAUAACACUAUCAAUCUUUCUCAUUUCUUGAUAACAAUAUACAAAAUUAUAAAAACAGAAACACUAAUAACACUAUCAAUCUUCUCAUUUCUUGAUAACAAUAUAACAAAAUUUAGCAAAACAAGAACACUAAUAACACUAUCAAUCUUCUCAUUUCUUGAUAAAAAUAGCAAAAUUAGCAAAACAAGACACUAUAACAACUAUCAAUCUUCUCAUUUCUUAAUAACAAUAUACAAAUUUAGCAAAAAGAACACUAAUAACACUAUCAAUCUUUCCAUUUCUUGAUAACAAUAUACAAAAUUGCAAAACAAGAACACUAAUAACACUCAAUUCUUCUCAUUUCUUGAUAACAAUAUACAAAAUUUAGCAAAACAAGAACACUAUCAAUCUUCUCAUUUCUUGAUAACAAUAUACAAAAUUUAGCAAACAAGAAACACUAAUAACACUAUCAUCUCUCAUUUCUUGAUAACAAUAUACAAAAUUCAGCAAAACAAGAACCUAAUAACAUAUCAAUCUUCUCAUUUCUUGAUAACAAUAUACAAAAUUCAGCAAAACAAGAACAUAAUAACUAUCAAUCCUCUCAUUCUUGACAACAAUAUACAAAAUUAAGGCAAAACAAGAACAUUAAUAACAUUAUCAAUCUUCUCAUUUCUUGAUAACAAUAUACAAAAUUUAGCGAAACAAGAACACUAAUAACACUAUCAAUCUUCUCUUUUUUCUUAAUAACAAUAUACAAAAUUUAGCAAAACAAGAACACUAAUAACACUAUCAAUCUUCUCAUUUCUUGAUAACAAUAUACAAAAUUUAGCAAAAACAAGAACACUAAUAAACACAUCAAUCUUCUCAUUUCUUGAUAACAAUAUACAAAAUUUAGCAAAGCAAAGAACACUAAUAACACUAUCAAUCUUCUCAUUCUUGAAUAACAAAAUAGAAAAUUUAGGCAAAACAAGAACACUAAUAACAUCAAUCCUUCAUUUCUUGAUAACAAUAUACAAAUUUAGCAAAACAAACACUAAUAACAUAUCAACCUCAUUUCUUGAUAACAAUAUACAAAAUUUGCAAAACAAGAACACUAUAUUAACACUAUCAAUUUCUCAUUUCUUAAUAACAAUAUACAAAAUUUAGCAAAAAAAACAAAACAUAAUAACACUAUCAAUCUCUCAUUUCUUGAUAACAUAUACAAAAUUUGGCAAAACAAGAACACUAAUAACACUAUCAAUGCUUCUUCAUUUCUUGAUAACAAAUAUACAAAUUUAAAAACAAGAACACUAUAACAACUAUCAAUCUUCUCAUUUCUUGAUAACAAUAUACAAAAUUUAGCAAAACAAGAAACUAAUAACACUAUCAAUCUUCUCAUUUCUUGAUAACAAUAUCAAAAUUUAGCAAAACAAGAACACUAUAACACUAUCAAUCUUCUCAUUUCUUAAUAACAAUAUACAAAAUUUAGCAAAACAAGAACACUAAUAACACUAUCAAUCUCUCAUUUCUUGAUAACAAUAUACAAAAUUUAGCAAAACAAGAACACUAAUAACACUUCAAUCUUCUCAUUUCUUGAUAACAAUAUACAAAAUUUAGCAAACAAGAACACUAAAACACUAUCAAUCUUCUCAUUUCUUGAUAACAAUAUAAAUUUAGCAAAACAAGAACACUAAUAACAACAUCUCAUCCUCUAUUUCUGAUAACAAUAUACAAAAUUCAGCAAACAAGAACCCUAAUAACACUAUCAAUCUUCUCAUUUCUUGAUAACAAUAUACAAAAUUCAGAAACAAGAACACUAAUAACACUAUCAAUCUUCUCAUUUCUUGAUAACAAUAUAAAAUUUAGCAAAAACAAGAACAUUAAUAACAUUAUCAUCUUCUCAUUUCUUGAUACAAUAUACAAAAUUUAGCAAAAAAGAACACUAAUAACACUAUCAAUCUUCUCAUUUCUUGAUAACAAUAUACAAAAUUUAGCAAACAAGAAACUAAAACACUAAUAAUCUCUCAUUUCUUGAUAACAAUAUACAAAAAUUAUAGAAAACAAGAACACUAUCAAUCUUCCUCAUUUUUUGAUAACAAUAUCAAAAUUUAGCAAAACAGAACACUAAAACACUAUCUCUUCUCAUUUCUUGAUAACAAUAUACAAUUCGCAAAACAAGAACACUAAUAACACUAUCAAUCUUCUCAUUUCUUGAUAACAAUAUACAAAAUUUAGCAAAACAAGAACACUAAUAACACUAUCAAUCCUCUCAUUUCUUGACAACAAUAUACAAAAUUUAGCAAAACAAGAACAUUAAUAA
rnacentral:lncRNA from 1 species